ACCUUGAGAAUAUAUAAAAUUAUCUAUUAAUCUUUAGGAUAAAUCAUGGAUAUAUAAAAUAUGAUUGACAAAAAAAUAUCUUUAUUAAUAAUAAAUAAUUUACAAGUAUAAAAUUAGGUUAUGAAAUUAUAAAAUAUAUCAACCAAUAAUUGACUUCUAGGGCACACAUCUAACAUAACCAAAAUUUCGUGGCUAAAUCCCACGAGCG
rnacentral:lncRNA from 1 species